GAUGAACGCUGGCGGCGUGCUUAACACAUGCAAGUCGAACGAUGAAGCCCAGCUUGCUGGGUGGAUUAGUGGCGAACGGGUGAGUAACACGUGAGUAACCUGCCCUUAACUCUGGGAUAAGCCUGGGAAACUGGGUCUAAUACCGGACAGGAGCGCCUACCGCAUGGUGGGUGUUGGAAAGAUUUAUCGGUUUUGGAUGGACUCGCGGCCUAUCAGCUUGUUGGUGAGGUAAUGGCUCACCAAGGCGACGACGGGUAGCCGGCCUGAGAGGGUGACCGGCCACACUGGGACUGAGACACGGCCCAGACUCCUACGGGAGGCAGCAGUGGGGAAUAUUGCACAAUGGGCGAAAGCCUGAUGCAGCGACGCCGCGUGAGGGAUGACGGCCUUCGGGUUGUAAACCUCUUUCAGUAGGGAAGAAGCGAAAGUGACGGUACCUGCAGAAGAAGCACCGGCUAACUACGUG
rnacentral:rRNA from 1 species